GCAAACGCUAGCGGCGUGCCUAAUACAUGCAAGUCGAACGGGGAAAGGCUUCGGCCGAGUACUAGUGGCGCACGGGUGAGUAAUACGUGGAUAAUCUUCCCUCAGGUGGGGGAUAACUAAUCGAAAGAUUAGCUAAUACCCCAUAAGACUACAGUAGCUGCGGCUACAGUGGUUAAAGGUUUUUCGCCAGAGGAUGAGUCCGCGUCCGAUUAGCUAGUUGGUGAGGUAAUGGCUCACCAAGGCUGUGAUCGGUAACUGGUCUGAGAGGAUGACCAGUCACACUGGAACUGAGACACGGUCCAGACUCCUACGGGAGGCAGCAGUAGGGAAUAUUGCACAAUGGAGGAAACUCUGAUGCAGCGACGCCGCGUGAGUGAUGAAGGACUUCGGUUUGUAAAGCUCUGUUCUCAGGGACAAAAAAAAUGAUGGUACCUGAGAAGAAAGGACCGGCUAACUUCGU
rnacentral:rRNA from 1 species